UGCGGUCUGCGCUCCCCGACAGGAACCACAAUCCCUGGGGCCAUACUCGAUCCAUUGGGAGCUGUCCCUGUUUGGACCCGUGGGUUCAAGCACACGGCGCCCACCUACUUUGUAGGCACCCAGGAUCGUAAAAAAUCCAUCGGUUGUGUGGAUCGCAC
rnacentral:other from 1 species